CGGCGCAUUAGCUAGUUGGUGGGGUAAUGGCCUACCAAAGGCAACGAUGCGUAGCCGACCUGAGAGGGUGAUCGGCCACACUGGGACUGAGACACGGCCCAGACUUCUACGGGAGGCAGCAGUAGGGAAUCUUCCACAAUGGACGAAAGUCUGAUGGAGMAAUGCCGCGUGAGUGAAGAAGGUUUUCGGAUCGUAAAGCUCUGUUGCGAGGGAAGAACACGUACGGGAGUAACUGCCCGUACCUUGACGGUACCUCGUCAGAAAGCCACGGCUAACUACGUGCCAGCAGCCGCGCUAAUACGUAGGUGGCAAGCGUUGUCCGGAAUUAUUGGGCGUAAAGCGCGCGCAGGCGGUCCUUUAAGUCUGAUGUGAAAGCCCACGGCUCAACCGUGGAGGGUCAUUGGAAACUGGAGGACUUGAGUACAGAAGAGGAAAGCGGAAUUCCACGUGUAGCGGUGAAAUGCGUAGAGAUGUGGAGGAACACCAGUGGCGAAGGCGGCUUUCUGGUCUGUAACUGACGCUGAGGCGCGAAAGCGUGGGGAGCAAACAGGAUUAGAUACCCUGGUAGUCCACGCCGUAAACGAUGAGUGCUAAGUGUUAGGGGGUUUCCGCCCCUUAGUGCUGCACUAACGCAUUAAGCACUCCGCCC
rnacentral:rRNA from 1 species